rnacentral:tRNA from 1 species
AUUUUGUUAGUUUAAAGAAAACGUUGAUUUGUGGAAUCAAAGAUGAAUUUUAUUCACAAAAUU